GCUCUUCUAGUGGGAUACUCGUUCGAUAUGAUUCUACAGCUUCGGCAUCCCGUGGACACCUCCUCCUCAGAAGACGAUGAUGACGAAAACUUCAUCUUGUGCCACCUCACUUUCUUCGACAUGGACCGAGAGCAUUCAUUAUUUUUUUUACGAUUCGCCAUCAUCUACGCGGAGGAUCAACUUUACCGACAAUCGUAUCAUUUGCGGUGCAGUCAAAACUGCACUUGACAUUUGUCACCCGCUGACUGCGCUUGGAUCAGGUACAUUAAGGUUUCAUCGAGUAGGUUAUUAACCACGUGAGAAUAUCGUUCAUCGCAACAUUUUAUAUACGUUCUUACGAAUGUAUAGGGUGACUUUAAUACAAUGUCACAAGAAAAACCCUGUCGUGCGUGUACAGACUUCAAAACAUGGGCAAAGAUUCAAAAGAAAACGUUCCAAUCUGAGAAGGAAUCUGAGAAAAAACAGGAGCAUAAUCAAUCUGUAAAUAACAAGGGUAAACGUGAUGACUGUCCUUUGGAUAAGGAUGAAUUAGGUUCUAGAACAUGGUCACUGUUACAUACCAUGGCAGCAUAUUACCCAGAUCAACCAAGCGAAGCAGAAAAAUCUGAUAUGAAACAAUUUUUUCACACAUUCUCUAAAUUUUAUCCUUGUUAUGUAUGUGCAGAAGAUUUAAGGGAACAAUUAAAGCAGUCCCCGCCACAGACUGACUCACAGAGAACAUUGAGUCGUUGGCUUUGCAACAUACAUAAUGAGGUAAACAAGAAAAUUGGAAAACCUGAAUUCGAUUGUAAUCUUGUUGAUCAAAGGUGGAGAGAUGGUUGGCUCGAUGGUUCUUGCGACUGAUAAUAACUUACAAUCGCUGACGGCUUUAAAUGUUUAUAAAUGACCUAUAUGUGAUAUAAAAUAUUAUAGUAUAAUCAUUGGUAGGAAAUAGGUGGUGGUAAAUGUGAAAUAGUAAAUGCAGAAUUCAAUGUCCUAAUCUGAGGUUCAUAGCUAUGGUUUUGUCCAUCACCACCAACUGGCAUAACUUGACAUGUUCUGAUAUGAAAUGGAAACCGUUUGUUAGCCAUAGAUGGUCGAGUAAUAUACAAAAACACUAUAUGUCCCACAAACACGAUCCACAACGAGCAUCCUUUAGCAACGCUUUCUCUUACCCAAUCGUCUACUAACAAAGUAAUGCAGAGCACCUAAGAAAUUAUAAUUAUUUUGAGGUGGAAUUGUGACAUUAUGUGAAGCCAUUAUAUAAAAUAUAUUCAAUAUAUACCGUUAGCGGAUGGCACAGGAACCACGCUGACCCCAAAGAAAAUAAUGAGCCGUAAAAAUGAAGUUUUGUCGACAUUUUUUUAAUUGUCUUCAAGCAACGAAGGGAAAAGACGAUCCAUGCGAUCAGCUUUACAGCUAUUAACAUGUAGCCUGGUGGUGAUUCGUAAAUGUAUAAUACCAAUCCAGGAUCAAAUACAUCGGAUUGGUAAAUGUAUAACGUGAACUGAAAGAAGGAAGUAAAACACACAAAACAGACAAGCCAUCGAGUUUGUCUCGCUGUUAGAACACUUUUCGUCACCGUGAAACCAAUCGCGAGUAGUAACAUAAGUACGGUGAACAAAAUAUCUGAGCAGGCUUCUGAAAGUUGGCCUAUCAAGGAAGCAUUCUCUGAUGCCAUACCUUUCAAACCAAGAUUCAUGUAACUAUAAAUUUCAAGCAUUAUCCCGAAUAAUUGGAAAAGCAGGGAAGCUAUAUAUAUUUUGUAAGACACGUGUAAUAGUCUCCUUGAUUUCAAUUGCACUGCUACAUAGAAGCUUAAUAUAACAAGUAUAACAUAUAUACUACUGAUUGCU